rnacentral:rRNA from 1 species
GCAAGCUAGGUGCGCGGAUCGGUGGUGAUCGGUAGGGGGUGGCUGUUGUCCGGAAUUGUUUGGCGUAAGUGGGUUUUAGGCGGGUUGUGGCGUCUGCUGUGAAAAUCCGGGGCUCAACCCCGGACUUGGAGUGGGUACGGGCAGACUAGAGUAUGGUAGGGGAGACUGGAAUUCCUGGUGUAGCGGUGAAAUGCGCAGAUAUCAGGAGGAACACCGAUGGCGAAGGCAGGUCUCUGGGCCACUACUGACGCUGAGAAGCGAAAGCAUGGGGAGCGAACAGGAUUAGAUACCCGAGUGGUC